CUACCGUGACCGAAAAUUAAAACCCCCUUGUUACGAUAAGUUAAGAACUUAACAACUGUCGAACGGCGGCAAUAUCACAUAAUCCCUGUGGAGACGAUAACAAACCCCGAUACUCUAACCCUGUUUCAACAUCAAUCAUCUUGAUUUCGACAGGUUCAGCAUAAUUUGUGUCAGCAAUGUUAAGGGGGUCAGCGUCAACCUUCA
rnacentral:lncRNA from 1 species